GGAGAAGUAGGACUAUAACUGGGAGAAGUGGGGCUAUAACUAGGUGAUGUGGGGCUAUAACCAGGAGAGGUGGGGCUGUACGCAGGUGAUGUGGGACUGUAUGAAGGUGAUGUAGGACUGUAUGAAGGUGAUGUUGGGCUAUAUGAAGGAGAAGUAGGACUAUAUGAAGGUGAUGUUGGGCUAUAUGAAGGAGAAGUAGGACUGUAUGCAGGGGAUGUUGGGCUGUAGGCAGGUGAAGUUGGGCUGUAGGCAGGUGAGGUGGGGCUGUAGCUUGGUGAGGUGGGGCUAUAGCUUGGGGAGGUGGGGCUGUAGCUUGGAGAAGUUGGGCUGUAGCUUGGUGAGGUGGGAGAGUAUGAUGGACUAGUAGGAGAAUAAGCUGGACUUGUAGGACUAUAUCCUGGAGAACUAGGACUAUACGUGGGAGAGGUAGGGCUGUAGCCUGGAGAGGUGGGGCUGUAGCCAGGCGAGGUCGGGCUGUAGCCAGGAGAGGUAGGGCUAUAUCCAGGUGAUGAUGGACUAUAUCCCGGUGAUGAUGGACUGUACCCCGGGGAUGAAGUAGGAGAGAAAGCCAUUCCACCAACAUAAGGUGAAAACUGUGCAUCACUAGUUGGUGACAGGCGCAGAUUUGGGCUCAACAAAUAACUUGGAG
rnacentral:lncRNA from 1 species